rnacentral:rRNA from 1 species
AUGCGCGCUGGCGGCGUGCCUAAUCCAUGCAAGUCGAGCGAACAGAUGAGGAGCUUGCUCCUCUGACGUUAGCGGCGGACGGGUGAGUAACACGUGGAUAACCUACCUAUAAGACUGGGAUAACUUCGGGAAACCGGAGCUAAUACCGGAUAAUAUAUUGAACCGCAUGGUUCAAUAGUGAAAGACGGUUUUGCUGUCACUUAUAGAUGGAUCCGCGCCGCAUUAGCUAGUUGGUAAGGUAACGGCUUACCAAGGCAACGAUGCGUAGCCGACCUGAGAGGGUGAUCGGCCACACUGGAACUGAGACACGGUCCAGACUCCUACGGGAGGCAGCAGUAGGGAAUCUUCCGCAAUGGGCGAAAGCCUGACGGAGCAACGCCGCGUGAGUGAUGAAGGUCUUCGGAUCGUAAAACUCUGUUAUUAGGGAAGAACAAAUGUGUAAGUAACUAUGCACGUCUUGACGGUACCUAAUCAGAAAGCCACGGCUAACUACGUG